AUUGAACGCUGGCGGCAUGCCUUACACAUGCAAGUCGAACGGUAGAGUAGCAAUACUCGAGAGUGGCGAACGGGUGAGUAACAUAUCGGAACGUGCCCAAUCGUGGGGGAUAACGUAGAGAAAUUUACGCUAAUACCGCAUACGAUCUAAGGAUGAAAGCGGGGGAUCGCAAGACCUCGCGCGAUUGGAGCGGCUGAUAUCAGAUUAGGUUGUUGGUGAGGUAAAAGCUCACCAAGCCGACGAUCUGUAGCUGGUUUGAGAGAACGACCAGCCACACUGGGACUGAGACACGGCCCAGACUCCUACGGGAGGCAGCAGUGGGGGAAUUUUGGACAAUGGGCGAAAGCCUGAUCCAGCAAUGCCGCGUGCAGGAAGAAGGCCUCGGUU
rnacentral:rRNA from 1 species